rnacentral:rRNA from 1 species
UACGUAGGGUGCAAGCGUUGUCCGGAUUUAUUGGGCGUAAAGAGCUCGUAGGCGGUCUGUCGCGUCGGAUGUGAAAACCCAGGGCUCAACCCUGGGCCUGCAUUCGAUACGGGCAGACUAGAGUAUGGCAGGGGAGACUGGAAUUCCUGGUGUAGCGGUGAAAUGCGCAGAUAUCAGGAGGAACACCGGUGGCGAAGGCGGGUCUCUGGGCCAAAACUGACGCUGAGAAGCGAAAGCGUGGGGAGCGAACAGG